rnacentral:rRNA from 1 species
UGGGGAAUAUUGCACAAUGGGCGCAAGCCUGAUGCAGCCAUGCCGCGUGUAUGAAGAAGGCCCUCGGGUUGUAAAGUACUUUCAGCGGGGAGGAUGGGAGUCAAGUUAAUACCUUUGCUCUUUGACGUUACCCGCAGAAGAAGCCCCGGCUAACUCCGCGCCAGCAGCCGCGGUAAUACGGAGGGCGCAAGCGUUAAUCGGAUUUACUGGGCGUAAAGCGCACGCAGGCGGUUUGUUAAGUCAGAUGUGAAAUCCCCGGGCUCAACCUGGGGACAGCAUCUGAUACAGGGAAGCUUGAGUGUCGUAGAGGGGGGUAGAGUUCCAGGUGUAGCGGUGAAAUGCGCAAAGAUCUGGAGGAAUACCGGUGGAGAGGGCGGCGCCCUGGACGAAAACUGACGCUCAGGUGCGAAAGCGUGGGGAGCAAACAGG